rnacentral:rRNA from 1 species
GAUGAACGCUGGCGGCGUGCCUAAUACAUGCAAGUCGAGCGAAGCGGGGACGUGUGAGUAACCCUUGGAUAACCUCCUAUAACACUGCUAUAACUUCGGGAAACCGGAGCUAAACGGGAUACUUAUAGAUGUAUCCGCGCUGCAUUCGCUAGUUGGUAAGGUAACGGCGUACAAAGGCAACGAUGCAUAGCAGACCUUAGAGGGUGAUCGGCCAGACUGGAACUGAACGACGGUCAAGACUCCUACGGGCGGCAGCAGGAGGGAAUCUUCCGCGAUGGGCGGAAGCCGGACGGAGCAACGCCGCGUGAGAGAUGAAGGUCUGCAGGUCGUAAAACUCUGUUAUUAGGGAAGCGGUACCGAAUCAGAAAGCCACGGCGAACUACGUGCCAGCAGCCGCGGUAAUAC